GUAGGGAAUAUUGGGCAAUGGAUGCAAGUCUGACCCAGCCAUCCCGCGUGCCGGAAGAAGGCCCUCAGGGUUGUAAACGGCUUUUGACGGUGAAGAAUCGACAGGAUGCGUCCUGUUUUGACGGUAGCCGUUGAAUAAGCACCGGCUAACUCCGUGCCAGCAGCCGCGGUAAUACGGAGGGUGCGAGCGUUGUCCGGAUUUAUUGGGUUUAAAGGGUGCGUAGGCUGGAAGGUCAGUCAGCGGUGAAAAGCUGUCGCUUAACGAUAGUCUUGCCGCAGAUACUUCCUUUCUUGGAUGAGGAGGAGGCCACUGGAACGGAUGGUGUAGCGGUGAAAUGCAUAGAUAUCAUCGAGAACACCGAUUGCGAAGGCAGGUGGCUGUACCUUAAUCGACGCUGAUGCACGAAAGCAUGGGGAGCACACAGGAUUAGAAACCCUUGUAGUCC
rnacentral:rRNA from 1 species